CCUACGGGUGGCAGCAGUGGGGGAUAUUGCACAAUGGGGGAAACCCUGAUGCAGCGACGCCGCGUGAGUGAAGACGGAUUUCGGUAUGUAAAGCUCUAUCAGCAGGGAAGAAAAUGACAGUACCUGACCAAGAAGCCCCGGCUAACUACGUGCAAGCAGCCGCGGUAAUACGUAGGGGGCAAGCGUUAUCCGGAUUUACUGGGUGUAAAGGGGGCGUAGACGGUUAUGUAAGUGUGGAGUGAAAGCCGGGGGCCCAACCCCGGGACUGCUUUGGCAACUGUGUAGCUGGAGUACAGUAGAGGCAGGCGGAAUUCGUGGUGUAGCGGUGAAAUGCGUAGAUAUCAUGAAGAACACCGACGGCGAAGGCAGCCUGCUGGACUGAAACUGACGUUGAGGCUCGAAAGCGUGGGGAGCAAACAGGAUUAGAUACCCGAGUAGUC
rnacentral:rRNA from 1 species